rnacentral:rRNA from 1 species
CUAGCGUUGUUCGGAAUUACUGGGCGUAAAGCGCGCGCAGGCGGUUCUCCAAGUCAGUGGUGAAAGCCCGGAGCUCAACUCCGGAACUGCCAUUGAAACUGUUGAACUUGAGGACGAGAGAGGUGAGUGGAAUUCCCAGUGUAGAGGUGAAAUUCGUAGAUAUUGGGAAGAACACCAGUGGCGAAGGCGACUACCUGGCCUGUUCUUGACGCUGAGGCGCGAAAGCUAGGGGAGCAAACGGG